AGUGGCAGACGGGUGAGUAAUGUAUAGGAAUCUACCUAGUAGUACGGAAUAAUUGUUGGAAACGGCAACUAAUACCGUAUACGCCCUACGGGGGAAAAAUUUAUUGCUAUUAGAUGAGCCUAUAUUAGAUUAGUUAGUUGGUGAGGUAAAGGCUUACCAAGACAAUGAUCUAUAGCUGAUCUGAGAGGAUGAUCAGCCACACUGGAACUGAGAUACGGUCCAGACUCCUACGGGAGGCAGCAGUGGGGAAUAUUGGACAAUGGGCGAAAGCCUGAUCCAGCCAUGCCGCAUGAGUGAAGAAGGCCUUCGGGUUGUAAAGCUCUUUUAGUGAGGAAGAUAAUGACGGUACUCACAGAAGAAGUCCUGGCUAACUCCGUGCCAGCAGCCGCGGUAAUACGGAGAGGGCUAGCGUUAUUCGGAAUCAUUGGGCGUAAAGGGCGCGUAGGCGGGUUAGUAAGUUAAAAGUGAAAUCCCAAGGCUCAACCUUGGAACUGCUUUUAAAACUGCUAGUCUAGAGAUUGAAAGAGGAUAGAGGAAUUCCUAGUGUAGAGAUGAAAUUCGUAAAUAUUAGGAGGAACACCAGUGGCGAAGGCGGCUUACUGGUCUGUUACUGACGCUGAGGUGCGAAAGCGUGNGGAGCAAACAGGAUUAGAUACCCUGGUAGUCCACGCCGUAAACGAUGGAAGCUAGCCGUCGGCAAGUUUACUUGUCNGUGGCGCAGUUAACGCAUUAAGCUUCCCGCCNGGGGAGUAC
rnacentral:rRNA from 2 species